CAAGUGGGUCGGAUGGGUUUGUUGCAUUUAAAUGUUGGGUACAUCGUUUAAAACGCAACAUAUUUAUAUCUAGAAAUGUUAUACGAAGUAGUAUUAAUUAAUGUUAUGCUUCUGUUUUUAUUUUUAUUUUCUUUUACUCCUUUUGUUUACCGAUGUAGCAACAUGUUAAUUCUGCUUUAAGUUUUAUUGUAUUAGAUAAUAUAGAGUAAUCUUGAAUUUUUUGCUUUUGUUUGUAGAUCUAUACUCUGUAAUCAGUAUGCUACAUAGCCAAAUUCGAUCACAUGGAGUAAAAUAAGAUGAUAUGGAACUCCUCUUAGGUUACAUGGCGAGUGAAAGGAACGCCAGUGAAAGGUAAAUGUCAUUAAAGGCCUGAAGAUGUACGAAAAUAUAUUCACUGGUCAAGAGCUUUCUAAGCUGAAUGAUUUCGUGGAUGCUGGACAAAAUGGAGAACUCUUAGGUGAAACAUAUAUUUUGUUCAACAAACAGAUCAAGGCUAACUAAAGGGAGCAGAUUCAACUUGGUGUUCAAAUAUUUGGACAAAUAAAAAGAUGAUACAACCCCUCAGCAGCAAAAGAGUUAUUGAUGAUUCAAGCGGUAAUAGUAUAAUGUAUAUCAAGAGAUUAACAAGUUAUCUUGAAGCUAAGCUAGCAUGGCGAUAUGAUUUACUCAAUUAAUUAGGAAGUUUUUUAUUUUAGUUUUGGACUUGUCCAUCUUGGAUUAAUGUCUAAAAAAUGAUUCUAAGAACUUGUUUUUAUUUUUGUUUAAUAAAGCAGUGUAAUGUAUGGAUGAUUACUAUCGCUUUUUGUAACUAAAUUUUUGCUAAAUAUAAAUUAGAGUUGUUUUAAGACAAUGUAGUUCAUUAUAUAUAAAUUCAAUUGUGCAUUCAUUUGU